UGGCUUCUUUCCACGGACUGCGCAAAUUAUCACUUGUCUCUAUCAGUUAUACAUUAUUAUUUUAUGUUUACCUUCUAAUCUGCCUUACCUUAUCACUGGGCAUUCUGAUUUGACAAGAUACUAGAGAUUCUACAAUGAAGGAAUUUAAACAAGCAUGGGAUAGAAAUAUGGUAAUUCUGACUAGAGGACAAGGCUAAUUCUUAUCUGCCGUCAAAGUCUAUGUUUCUAAGUUUCUAGUCUGACAAUUACAGCUUGUAUGUGAUAAUGAACAAAACAUAUACCAUUACUGAGCUACAUAUGGUCAAAGUAACUGAAACACAUUUAUCGAUGUAAUUAACAUUUUGUAGACUGGUGAAAAAUGUCGGCACAUAUUCGCUGUUUAAAUUUAGAGCAAUGGUAUGUAUAUAUGUUUUGCAUAUUAUAGUGUGCAAGUGACUGAUUUGUGUCUGAACUUUUGAAUGAUAUAAAAUGUACGUAGAAAGCACUGUAAAGCACAAAGAAAGUGAAAAUGGAAAGGUAUUUGCUUGAGAAAAACUACAACAGUGUGUUAAAGCAUGUGUUAUAAUCAAAUAAAAACCAUAAAUUGUCAAAAAUUGUCAAGCUUGUAUAAAAUAUUUGAAUAUUGUGCUUUAUUAAACUUCUAACUGCCAUAUAUAACAAAAA